rnacentral:lncRNA from 1 species
GCAGGGGCAAAGACCUCUAUUUCAGGCUUCAAAGUUACUAUUUAUAGCCCGCAUUAUUAGUUGGUUGAAAGUAGUUGGGGGGAGUGGUUGUAACCAUGAUCGUGGAAGUUAUACUAACUCCUCAUGGAAGUUACGCUAACUCCUCAUGGAAGUUACGCCCCAAUCUUCAACCUUCCCGCCUUCUUGUCCUUCAAGCGCCUUAUUGCCGACUCCUGGUGUACCACGUGUCCUUAUUGGCUCAUACGUGGGUUAGGUCGGCUCAAUUUUGGUAUCAACAAUGCCCCCCCAAUAGUCUUUCGAAUGAACAUUCGGAUGACUAUUGGUGCCAAAUCGAUUGUUCAAAAGCACAGCCGAGACCCAAGCUUUAGUUUCGCUGGUCUUGGUCGGCUUUAGGAAAACGGUGCUUUAUCAUCCCAGCCACAUAUAUUUCUGCUUCAUCAGCUGAUUCUUUACUUUUAUUCUAUUAGUUCGGCUCUUCUUGAACUGAAUGUUUUUCUAUCAAGAAAUUCUUCUUAAAGAAAGUGGCUAUAUCUCGGCUUCAUCAGCCAAUUCUUCACCUUCACUCGAUUUGCUCGGCUCGUCUUGAACCGACUGUUCUUCUAGCAAGGAUUUCUCCUUGCCUUUACUUUGAUUUUUAUAUCGGCUCCACUGCAGCCGAUCGUCCUCACUUUUCUUCUGAAAUUGCUCGUAUUGGGCAACUCGAACUCCCAAAUCAAAAAGAUUUGGAAAGAACUUAUCCUCAAAAUGAUCUUUAAUUUUAAAAUGCAUGCCGUUAAAUGUCAUUUUGGCAAAUUCUGAUUCCGGCAUCCUUACAAAACAUCGGCUUCGAGCCGUCUUGAAUCGGUUCAAAUAUUCAUCAACCGAUUCUCCUAUUUUUUGUCUAAAUUGAGCCAAAUCUGCAACCGACAACUCCGGCUCGGUUCUAUAGAAUUGCUAAUAAAAUUUACCCUCUAAUUCGUCCCAGUCUCGGACAGAAUUAGUAGGUAGACUCGUGUACCAAGUGAAGGCAGUCUUGGUAAGUGAAGUAUUGAAUAAUCUUAAUUUUAGAAAAGGAUCUGCCGCUGCUUCGUGGCAUUAGGCUGUGAAUCGAGCGACGUGUUCGACCGUAUUCUCGGUCUCAUCGCCCGAGAACUUGUCGAACUUCGGCAUUUUCCAGUUUGCCGGAUACGGCUGCUCUAUAUCUAUGUUUGCUGGGUACGGGGAUCGAAAAACAGGCCGCAUAGCCGGCCUGGCCCCUACUCCGAAGGUAUUCCGAAUGACUUUCUCAAUCUGAGCAUACAGCGGAGCUUGUGCUUGAGCCGAAUUUGGCCUUUGAGGAACUCCAGAAUUCUGUAUUGCAGGGUUCGCUCCUUGCAUAUCAUUAGGGGCCUGCCUCCCAGCCCUAAUCCCUAUAUUUUGGGGCUGAUAAGCUGGUAAAGGAGGUAAACCCGAUGUAAUCUCCGACUGAGGGCCGGCAUUUAUAUUCACCGGCCUGUAAGCAACCUGGAAAGGUGCCAUUUGCGGUUGUGCCUGUGAGACCGCCGGCUUGACUGGAUUUUGUUGCAUCGACACAUUUAGGGGCCCUUGUUGCCCCCCAUAAGGUUGCUCGUUUCGGGUAAAUAAUUGUCUGAUUCGACCAAUAUUUUCAUUAUAGGCCGUGAUAGCGGCCAGCACCGCGUCUAGUCGAGCGGUACUUUGAUGAAUAUUUUGAUCUAAAGUUUGCAGUACUCGGCUCAUCUGGCCGAGUGCCUGAGUUAGACUCGGCUUUUGAUGAGCCGACUGUCCAAUAGUUUCUCCUUCAACUAGCAAAACUGCUUGACAUUCGCCAGCAUUGUCUGAAUCACUUGGUUGAUCACUCCCAGAAUUUCUAGGAAUGGCCCUAUUAUGUAGAUUUAUGGCGUUAUCAUCAGCCAUAAUCUUAAAAAUAGAGUCUCACCGGGCGUGCCAAAAUAUUGUUGGUGGCCGAAAUUCCCGACCCUGGACCUAGUCAACGAUCCUCCUCUGGGAGCGCGUCGGGAUGUGGAACGGCUGCGUAUAGUGACCCUCGGAGUUUACGCCCUUCGAUAGAUCAGGCGAUUCGGCUGACGAGGGAUCGAGCCAGCCAGGUUUGAAAACCACUACUAUAGAAUCGGUUCGGCUGGAGGAGCCGAAUGUAUGAACUGUGCAGGGAUCAAUGUCGGCAGAAGAGCCGAAUGGAAAAAGUACACAGUAAUUGGUCGGCUGAAAGAGCCGAGAUCGAAUCAGCCGAGUCUGAAAGCUUUUUUCACUCUUCGGUUCGGCUGGAUGAGCUGAAUAUGUGGGGAAAGUCGGAAAUUACGCCGGGAGAUGAGCCGAAUGGCUAGCACAACACAAAAUCUGGUCGGCCUGAAUAGCUGAACGUGACUUUCUAUUGAAUAGAAGAUGAAAAAGUACAAUCGCAGGGGAGUGAUGCCCGUGGGGCAGACAGACUCCAAGUAUAUUCUACAAGGGAGUGAUGCCCAUGGGGCAGACAUACUCCAAGUAUAUUCUAUAAGGGAGUGAUGCCCAUGGGGCAGACAGACUCCAAAGAUCUAAGUUACAGGAACUACUCCUAGGGAAAGCAGUAAAUGCGGAAAAGAAAAAGAUUACAUUUAGACUACUCCUAGAAAAGCGAUAAAAUGCAGAGGAAAUAAGGGUGGUCUUUUGUGCGCAGGGGCAAAGACCUCUAUUGCAAGCUUCAAAGUUACUAUUUAUAGCCCGCAUUAUUAGUUGGUUGAAAGUAGUUGGGGGGAGUGGUUGUAACCAUGAUCGUGGAAGUUAUACUAACUUCUCAUGGAAGUUACGCUAACUCCUCAUGGAAGUUACGCCCCAAUCUUCAACCGUUCCCGCCUUCUUGUCCUUCAGGCGCCUUAUUGCCGACUCCUGGUGUACCACGUGUCCUUAUUGGCUCAUACGUGGGUUAGGUCGGCUCAAUUUUGGUAUCAACAUUUAUAAUAAUAGAUAAAUCCUAAUACGACUAGCAAUACAAAUCUACUAAAAUUAGGAAUGAUUUCAAUUAGAUUAGAUAUAAUCUAAACUUAACUUAAUAGGAUAAUCAAGAUAGAAUAGAGUUAGGAAAUCCUUGUGCUUCCAAAAAUUCGAGAUACAUCUAACAAUCUCUAGCUUGGCUUGAAUUUUUUCUCUUCUCCACCAAAACCCCAAAAGCUCCAGAAGUGUUGUUACACAUGCGAACCAAAUUUACAGAAUACUUGAACUUGGUUACUAAAAGAGACUUAAUAAGCAAAUCCUGUUGGGUUCUCUGAAGUGCCAAACUUCUCAUUCUCCAAUUACGCCUUUUUGCAACUUCUAUUACAUCGGAACGACAAUUUGUCAUAGAGCGAAAUUGCUGGAGUGAUUAAAGUUCUCGAUCUCAAAUUUUGUCGACAUCUUAAACACCUAAACGAACAAUCCGACUAUGAUACCAGUUUGUUAGAAGUCUGCGAUUUACAGUGAUAUCAGAUUUUCUCUGAUACCAGUUUAUUAUGACAAAAGUGGAAAUUCUAUAGUUCGUUGGAUGUGAAAAUACCAAAGAAAAAUUGAGAAAGAGAGAAGAAAAAUAAAGCACACAAAAAUUUAUGUGGUUCAGCCAAUAGCCUACAUCCACGGAUGAAGACGUAGUGGAGAUUUUCAUUAUAAUCAAAGUAGUAUAUAAAAUAUAGCUCUCUCACAAAAAUUGAGUCUUAAAAAUACACCCAUACUCCCUCUUAUCUACUGCACUAAAUCAACAGAAUAAAAAUAUAUUUAUAAUAGUGACUAAAUUGUAAUAUAAUUAGGACUACAAGUUUACUUAGAUCAGAAAUAAUCAUAAUUAAAUUAGGCAUAAUAUAGACUUAGUUUAAUGAAAUAAUUAAAGC